AUUGAACGCUGGCGGGAUGCCUUACACAUGCAAGUCGAACGGCGUGGCGAACGGGGGGGUGAUGUAUCGGAACGUGCCCCUUCGCGACGGAUAACUACGCGGAAGCGAAGCUAAUACCGCAUACUAUUGGAGCGGCCGCUAUCGGAUUAGCUGGUUGGUGGGGUAACGGCUCACCAAGGCGACGAUGCGUAGCUGGUUUGAGAGGAUGACCAGCCAAACUGGGACUGAGACACGGCCCAGACUCCUACGGGAGGCAGCAGUGGGGAAUUUUGGACAAUGGGCGAAAGCCUGAUCGAGCCAUGCCGCGUGUGUGAUGAAGGCCUUCGGGUUGUAAAGCACUUUUGGCAGGAAAGCGGUACCUGCAGAAUAAGCACCGGCUAACUACGUGCCAGCAGCCGCGGUAAUAC
rnacentral:rRNA from 1 species